rnacentral:rRNA from 1 species
AAACUAGAUACAAGCGAGCGGCGGACGGGUGAGUAACACGUGGGCUAACCUGCCCAAGAGACUGGGAUAACACCUGGAAACAGAUGCUAAUACCGGAUAACAACACUAGACGCAUGUCUAGAGUUUGAAAGAUGGUUCUGCUAUCACUCUUGGAUGGACCUGCGGUGCAUUAGCUAGUUGGUAAGGUAACGGCUUACCAAGGCAAUGAUGCAUAGCCGAGUUGAGAGACUGAUCGGCCACAUUGGGACUGAGACACGGCCCAAACUCCUACGGGAGGCAGCAGUAGGGAAUCUUCCACAAUGGACGAAAGUCUGAUGGAGCAACGCCGCGUGAGUGAAGAAGGGUUUCGGCUCGUAAAGCUCUGUUGGUAGUGAAGAAAGAUAGAGGUAGUAACUGGCCUUUAUUUGACGGUAAUUACUUAGAAAGUCACGGCUAACUACGUGCCAGCAGCCGCGGUAAUACGUAGGUGGCAAGCGUUGUCCGGAUUUAUUGGGCGUAAAGCGAGUGCAGGCGGUUCAAUAAGUCUGAUGUGAAAGCCUUCGGCUCAACCGGAGAAUUGCAUCAGAAACUGUUGAACUUGAGUGCAGAUUAGGAGAGUGGAACUCCAUGUGUAGCGGUGGAAUGCGUAGAUAUAUGGAAGAACACCAGUGGCGAA